rnacentral:lncRNA from 1 species
CUCUCUUCUUGCCUGGGCAGGCUGAGACAUGGCACCUCUAUCUUAUCAGCCAGAGGAAUAUUGUGGUUGGCUCUCUACCAGCCAUAGACCUGAAUGGGGUGCUCUGUGAUUCAUCAGAAAAGCAGGCUGCCUAGUUGUACUCAUAAGGUAAACAAACUUGUGUGUAAGCAAUGGACAGCAGGCCGAACGUUGGGAGGGCUACUGGCCAUUGAGAGGUAGAUAAUCCCACCACAGCCUUGUGAACCACCAGUUUUAAGGAUAAGUCUCAAAAUCUCUGUUGACUGCCUCAGUCCCUUCAUCCUUAGAAUAGAAGAGCCAAGGAAACUUGCCUAAAAUCAGAAAUGAACACAAGAUUGGCCAUGAGGACCCAUAAAGCCUUAUUAUGGAACUAGUUCUUGGCUGUAGAAACAGAAUGAUAGGACAAUCAUUCUGGAUAAGUACUCAGGGUCGCUAGCAUUGGGGAAGGGGAAGGCAAGAUGAAUUGAAAAGCUAUUGGACACUAUUGCUCUUCUUUUAGGCACUGAGUAGAUCUGAUUAAUAAAACCUGGUCCUAAGGAAAUCUCUACCUUGGCUGUGGUUUGACCAAUGACUUUUAAGAUCCUAUCUGAGUUCCAGAAACCCAAAGUUCAAUGCGGCCCAAAGCACUCAGCCUUCUCCACCCUUCACAGGCAGAAACACAGCCCAAGACCCUCACUUUUCAUGCAAGCAGCACAUAUUAAUUAAGGAGCUGGUGCGCACCAAGUCUUAUUCUAGACCAGUGGAUGUCGAAUCCAGAGGAACAGCACCAGCAUCACCCAGAAACUUGUGAGAAACGCAGUCUCUCAGGCCCGCCCAUGGCCUGCUGGGCCAGACGCCCUAGGAGUGAGGCCCAGUGUCCGUGUCCUAACAAGCCCUCCAGGUGACACUGGAGCAACCGUACAAAUGCAGAACGACUAUUCUUGGCAUGGGACGCAGACAUGUGAACAGCUCUCCUGGGCAUGGUUUCGGCGGCUUUGUUCCUGUAUGGCAUCCUGUCUGGCCUGGGCAAGGGGACAUCUCUAGUCUGCACCCCUGGACGAGCAUCACCUGUUCCCGUUCCACCCUUGAAAACCUCCCAACGUGCAGACCCUUGUUUCCACUGCUGAGACCCCUGGAGUUAAAGGCCCGCUUCCUCCUCCUUGUGAAAUAA